AUUGAACGCUGGCGGCAGGCCUAACACAUGCAAGUCGAGCGGAUGAAGGGGGCUUGCUCCUGGAUUCAGCGGCGGACGGGUGAGUAAUGCCUAGGAAUCUGCCUGGUAGUGGGGGAUAACGUCCGGAAACGGGCGCUAAUACCGCAUACGUCCUGAGGGAGAAAGUGGGGGAUCUUCGGACCUCACGCUAUCAGAUGAGCCUAGGUCGGAUUAGCUAGUUGGUGGGGUAAAGGCCUACCAAGGCGACGAUCCGUAACUGGUCUGAGAGGAUGAUCAGUCACACUGGAACUGAGAGACGGUCCAGACUCCUACGGGAGGCAGCAGUGGGGAAUAUUGGAAGAUGGGCGAAAGCCUGAUCAAGCCAUGCCGCGUGUGUGAAGAAGGGCUUCGGAUUGUAAAGCACUUUAAGUGGGGAGGAAGGGCAGUAAGUUAAGACCUGGCUGUUGUGACGUUACCAGCAGAAUAAGCACCGGCUAACUUCGUG
rnacentral:rRNA from 1 species